ACGGGAGGCAGCAGUGGGGAAUAUUGGACAAUGGGGGAAACCCUGAUGCAGCGACGCCGCGUGAAGGAAGAAGUAUCUCGGUAUGUAAACUUCUAUCAGCAGGGAAGAAAGUGACGGUACCUGACUAAGAAGCCCCGGCUAACUACGUGCCAGCAGCCGCGGUAAUACGUAGGGGGCAAGCGUUAUCCGGAUUUACUGGGUGUAAAGGGAGCGUAGACGGAAGAACAAGUCUGAAGUGAAAUCAUAGGGCUCAACCCUGUAAUUGCUUUGGAAACUGUUUAUCUUGAGUACCGGAGGGGCAGGCGGAAUUCCUGGUGUAGCGGUGAAAUGCGUAGAUAUCAGGAAGAACACCGGUGGCGAAGGCGGCCUGCUGGACGGUAACUGACGUUGAGGCUCGAAAGCGUGGGGAGCAAACAGGAUUAGAUACCCUGGUA
rnacentral:rRNA from 1 species